rnacentral:rRNA from 1 species
GGUGACCAGCGGAGGGAUCAUUAAAGAGUUCUAUAACUCCCAAACCCAUGUGAACAUACCUAACGUUGCCUCGGCAGGUCGCACCUACCUUGUAGCACCCUACCCUGUAGGGCCUACCCGGGAGGUGCGGGUAAGCCUGCCGGCGGCCCACCAAACUCUGUUUGAUAUUGAAUUCUGAACCUAUAACUAAAUAAGUUAAAACUUUCAACAACGGAUCUCUUGGUUCUGGCAUCGAUGAAGAACGCAGCGAAAUGCGAUAAGUAAUGUGAAUUGCAGAAUUCAGUGAAUCAUCGAAUCUUUGAACGCAUAUUGCGCCCAUUAGUAUUCUAGUGGGCAGGACCGUUCGAGCGUCAUUUCAACCCUUAAGCCUUCGUUGCUUAGUGUUGGGAGCCUACGGCAACGUAGCUCCUCAAAGUUAGUGGCGGAGUUGGUUCACACUCUAGACGUAGUAAUUUUUUAUCUCGCCUAUUAGUUGGACUAAUCCCCUGCCGUAAAACCCCCAAUUUAUCAAGGUUGACCUCGAAUCGGUUCAGACAAACUCGCUAAAUUGAAGCAUCUUAGUCAGCGAAGGAAAAGAAACCAACAGGGAUUGCCCUAGUAACGGCGAGUGAAGCGGCAACAGCUCAAAUUUGAAAUCUGGCCCUCGGGUCCGAGUUGUAAUUUGUAGAGGAUGCUUUUGGCGCGGUGCCUUCCGAGUUCCCUGGAACGGGACGCCUUAGAGGGUGAGAGCCCCGUACGGUUGGACACCAAGCCUCUGUAAAGCUCCUUCGACGAGUCGAGUAGCUUGGGAAUGCUGCUCUAAA